rnacentral:tRNA from 1 species
CGGGGUGUAGCGCAGUCUGGUAGCGCAUCUGGUUUGGGACCAGAGGGUCGCAGGUUCAAGUCCUGUCACCCCGACCA